UACGGAGGGUGCAAGCGUUAUCCGGAUUCACUGGGUUUAAAGGGUGCGUAGGCGGGCAGGUAAGUCCGUGGUGAAAUCUCUGAGCUUAACUCAGAAACUGCCAUGGAUACUAUCUGUCUUGAAUAUUGUGGAGGUAAGCGGAAUAUGUCAUGUAGCGGUGAAAUGCUUAGAUAUGACAUAGAACACCCCAUUGCGAAGGCAGCUUACUACACAAUUAUUGACGCUGAGGCACGAAAGCGUGGGGAUCAAACAGG
rnacentral:rRNA from 1 species